AUAUGAGUGCGCUAAGCAAUAUACUACAGGACUCCACUUGAUACUGAUCGGUCAGAACAGUAGAGGUCCUGGCAUCAAGGGCGAAUGCAAACUACAUCUCCCGGGCACAAAAUGUUGCUCCCACUGUUGUCAUAGAACCGUAUCCAGACAUCCCUGUGGCUGACAGUGGAGAAAGCACCAUAGCCACCUGUCUAGCAAAAAAUGCAAAGCCAGCCGCUUCUAUACAUUGGAAAGGUCCUUUCAUUGUCAGUUUUACUCAGAGUGCCACACGUCCUGCUCCUGAUGGAACUGUAAACGUCUCAAGCCCACUUCGUCUAUCUGCAACCAGAGAGAUGAAUGGACAGUACGUUUACUGUGUGGUGGAACAUCCAGCACUGAAGACUGCUGAACAAUUGGGUUAUCAGUUAAACAUUCAUUAUGUGCCAUCAGUUGCCAUUACAGUUGUGAAGACUGAGCAAGAUAAUUUACAGCUGAAAUGUAAUGCAGAUGCUAAUCCUCCAUCUACAGGAAUCAGAUGGACAAGGUGAGGAAAUGUCUCUGUUAUAGUGACUGGGCUUAUUUUUGGUCAUCUUGAUGUUUGUCACAUAUGGAAACCUAUCACCAUGCUUAACAGUAUCCGAAUCAGAGUUCCAAUUAUGAAUGCCACUUACAAAUGGAAAGUUUUGAAAUUGCCUUUACACUUAUAAGCACCGAGCUCAAAUUCAGUGCCGACUGAGAAAAUUGAACUUUUCUGUCUCUGCUGACUAGAAGAGCACCAGUGACACUGACCUGUGUCCAUUUCCAAGGGAAAUUAAAAUGAUAAUAAUCCUUG